rfam:Tupaia chinensis contig20820, whole genome shotgun sequence.
CUGCAAGUAUUCUCACUUUUCUGAUUCUGUAAUAAUCAGAACAGGCUAAACAUUUGCUACAUUAAGACCACACAUAUAUCUCCACACCUUGUUCUUUCUCUUUUAAAUAUCUGAUGGUAAUAAGG